rnacentral:rRNA from 1 species
UACGUAGGGUGCGAGCGUUAAUCGGAAUUACUGGGCGUAAAGCGGGCGCAGGCGGUUCUCCAAGUCCGUUGUGAAAGCCCCGGGCUCAACCUGGGAAUGGCAGUGGAAACUAGGGGACUGGAAUCUGGCAGAGGGGGGUGGAAUGCCGCGUGUAGCAGUGAAAUGCGUAGAGAUGCGGCGGAACACCGAUGGCGAAGGCAGCCCCCUGGGCUGAGAUUGACGCUCAGGCACGAAAGCGUGGGGAGCAAACAGG